rnacentral:rRNA from 1 species
UACGUAGGGUGCAAGCGUUGUCCGGAAUUAUUGGGCGUAAAGAGCUCGUAGGCGGUCUGUCGCGUCUGCUGUGAAAACCUGGGGCUUAACCCCGGGCCUGCAGUGGGUACGGGCAGACUAGAGUGCGGUAGGGGAGACUGGAAUUCCUGGUGUAGCGGUGAAAUGCGCAGAUAUCAGGAGGAACACCGGUGGCGAAGGCGGGUCUCUGGGCCGUAACUGACGCUGAGGAGCGAAAGCAUGGGGAGCAAACAGG